CUUAACACAUGCAAGUCGAGGGGAAACGACAUCGAAAGCUUGCUUUUGAUGGGCGUCGACCGGCGCACGGGUGAGUAACGCGUAUCCAACCUGCCCAUCACUUGGGGAUAACCUUGCGAAAGUAAGACUAAUACCCAAUGACGUCUCUAGAAGACAUCUGAAAGGGAUUAAAGAUUUAUCGGUGAUGGAUGGGGAUGCGUCUGAUUAGCUUGUUGGCGGGGUAACGGCCCACCAAGGCUACGAUCAGUAGGGGUUCUGAGAGGAAGGUCCCCCACAUUGGAACUGAGACACGGUCCAAACUCCUACGGGAGGCAGCAGUGAUGAAUAUUGGUCAAUGGACGAGAGUCUGAACCAGCCAAGUAGCGUGCAGGAUGACGGCCCUAUGGGUUGUAAACUGCUUUUAUAAGGGAAUAAAGUGAGUCUCGUGAGGCUUUUUGCAUGUACCUUAUGAAUAAGGACCGGCUAAUUCCGUGCCAGCAGCCGCGGUAAUACGGAAGGUCCGGGCGUUAUCCGGAUUUAUUGGGUUUAAAGGGAGCGUAGGCCGGAGAUUAAGCGUGUUGUGAAAUGUAGAUGCUCAACAUCUGCACUGCAGCGCGAACUGGUUUCCUUGAGUACGCACAAAGUGGGCGGAAUUCGUGGUGUAGCGGUGAAAUGCUUAGAUAUCACGAAGAACUCCGAUUGCGAAGGCAGCUCACUGGAGCGCAACUGACGCUGAAGCUCGAAAGUGCGGGUAUCGAACAGGAUUAGAUACCCUGGUAGUCCACGCGGUAAACGAUGGAUGCUCGCUGUUUGCGUCUGACGUAAGCGGC
rnacentral:rRNA from 1 species